GGGCCCGUGGCUUAGCUGGAUAUAGCACUGGCCUUCUAAGUCAGUGGUCCCGGGUUCGAAUCCCGGCGGGCCCGCCA
rnacentral:tRNA from 2 species